rnacentral:rRNA from 1 species
GAUGAACGCUGGCGGCGUGCCUAAUACAUGCAAGUCGAGCGAACAGACGAGGAGCUUGCUCCUCUGACGUUAGCGGCGGACGGGUGAGUAACACGUGGAUAACCUACCUAUAAGACUGGGAUAACUUCGGGAGACCGGAGCUAAUACCGGAUAACAUGUUGAACCGCAUGGUUCAACAGUGAAAGACGGUCUUGCUGUCACUUAUAGAUGGAUCCGCGCCGCAUUAGCUAGUUGGUAAGGUAACGGCUUACCAAGGCAACGAUGCGUAGCCGACCUGAGAGGGUGAUCGGCCACACUGGAACUGAGACACGGUCCAGACUCCUACGGGAGGCAGCAGUAGGGAAUCUUCCGCAAUGGGCGAAAGCCUGACGGAGCAACGCCGCGUGAGUGAAGAAGGUCUUCGGAUCGUAAAACUCUGUUAUUAGGGAAGAACAAAUGUGUAAGUAACUAUGCACGUCUUGACGGUACCUAAUCAGAAAGCCACGGCUAACUACGUG